GNGAUNAUUUUGCGCAAUGGGGGUAACCCUGNCGCAGCAACGCCGCGUGAGUGAAGAAGGCUUUCGGGUCGUAAAGCUCUGUCAAGUGGGAAGAACCCGCAUCAGGUCAACAGGCUGAUGCGCUGACGGUACCACUGAAGGAAGCACCGGCUAACUCCGUGCCAGCAGCCGCGGUAAUACGGAGGGUGCAAGCGUUAUUCGGAAUUACUGGGCGUAAAGGGCGCGCAGGCGGCUGGAUAAGUCAGUAGUGAAAGCCCAGGGCUCAACCCUGGAAGUGCUGCUGAAACUGUUUAGCUUGAGUAUGGUAGAGGGAAGUGGAAUUCCUGGUGUAGCGGUGAAAUGCGUAGAUAUCAGGAGGAACACCGGUGGCGAAGGCGGCUUCCUGGACCAAUACUGACGCUGAGGCGCGAAGGCGUGGGUAGCAAACAGGAUUAGAUACCCUGGUAGUCCACGCAGUAAACGGUGAUCACUANGUGUUGCGGNUAUUGAUACCUGCAGNGCCGNANCUAACGCAUUAAGUGAUCCGNCUGG
rnacentral:rRNA from 1 species